UACGUAGGGUGCGAGCGUUAAUCGGAAUUACUGGGCGUAAAGCGUGCGCAGGCGGUCUGUUAAGACCGAUGUGAAAUCCCCGGGCUUAACCUGGGAACUGCAUUGGUGACUGGCAGGCUUUGAGUGUGGCAGAGGGAGGUAGAAUUCCACGUGUAGCAGUGAGAUGCGUAGAGAUGUGGAGGAAUACCGAUGGCGAAGGCAGCCUCCUGGGCCAACACUGACGCUCAUGCACGAAAGCGUGGGGAGCAAACAGG
rnacentral:rRNA from 1 species